CGCUGCCCGGGCCUCAGCUUGCUCGGGCCAGGCCCGGAAACCUUUGGCAAGCCUCCUUCACCUGUGGAGAGUGGGUGAGGAAACUUCUCAGUGUUGGGUUUUUGGGUUUUUUUCCUGUGAGACAAUGCAGCUCUCAACAUUUGGAGACUCUCGCCUUUUGUCCUCGCUGGGGACACACGAAAUGGAGCCCUCAGGUAACUGCCGGGUGGGACAGCUGGAUUCUGCCGAGUUCUGCUGACAGUAUCUUGUUCAGGGAUUUUAAAGCCACUGGCAACAUGUAGGGGGUGCACAUGCACCCCGAGACUGGUGGUGCGCCCCCUGCGAAAAGGCGCCCCAGAUAGUGUCGGCUGCUGCUUGCCACCUCCCCUUGCCACUGACACUGCUGGUGGCGUCUGCGGGUAAUCCACAAUUGCCACUGGCCGCUGCCACCAGCGUCUGCAGGUGGUUGCCGACCACUGGUUGGCGCUUGCCACCCUCCUCCCCGCCGCUUACAGUGCUGCCUCUGGGAGCUCACUAUGCCUCCCCAGCCUCCCGGGGCAUGCAGUGUUCAUGCUUAAAGCCAUCCUGUCAAAGGUGACAGCUCAUCUUGACAUGUUCCUUUUAGCUCACUGAGUGAGUGACCGUCAGGACUUGUUAUAACUAAUCCACAAAUAAUAAAGCAGUGCUCCCUGUGAGUUCUCCCCGUUCUCCUGCCACUGGAUCCCCUCCCCCGCCGCCCAGCACAUCCGUUCAUCCUUUCUCCCAACACAGGGGUGUUCAACUGGCUCUGGCCCUUGGAGCUAGGGCUUCCCAGGGGGUUGGAAAUUUGGUGGUAGUGGCAGCAUUAACUGCUGCUCCCCUGUGCCAAAUUUCUGGGACUUGUGAGGAGCCUGCAGGCUGGAUAGCGUGGUUCUGAAGUGUGCUAGAUCAGGUGCACAGGGCUAGGCUGGCACUGGGCACUGGAGCCUGAUCUUGGCAUCAACCCUGCAAGGCAUCUCGCCCGCAGACCAGCUUCAGGCCACUCAUCUGGCCCACAGGGCCAAAAAGUCAUCCAUCACUACCCUUGGACACUUUCAUUCAUUGAUUAUCUCAGAGCCAGGCUCCCUUUCUGCCCAGGCCCCCGCCUGCUCAGCCUGUCUGCACCGACAUUGCUCAUGCUCACCUGCGAGCUGCUCAGUGGUACUGGGCUAUGGUGCUGUGCCUCCCAGCUCUGUUCCAAAAUCAACAGGAGGGGGAGAGGCUGACAAGCAGGGAACCCUCUGCCUGACCUGCCAAAUGGUUUUCCUCUUCACCCAACAUUGGAUAAAGGAGCAUUCCUUAGGGGCUGCAAGUCAAAGAGUCUGAGGAAAAACUUUCUGGUCAGCACAUUACACCCCAGCCUCCUGCUACGUGCAGUAGUCUGCCUUAAUGCUGGGCCGCAGCUGGGUAUCACCCUUUAUAGCUAGCCUUAGGGAGCACUCUAGGGAAUGGUAGCUAAACAAGACUAGGAACAGAAAGAGGAUGAGAGACCUUGAGAAACAGGGGAAGUAUGACAGGUAUUAACAGAGAGAAGUGAGAGCUUGAGGGGGCUGGAGUAAGGAGGGUCAUUGUGAGUUUCUGAGAAAAUGUAGGGGAAAAGGGAUAUUAGGAAAGGCACUGUGAGAUGGGGACAGCUUGAAGGGGUAUGUGCAAAGCAGAUAUCUAGGGAAGCAGAAAGACCAGCAAGAAUUGGCUGGGGGACUUUCAAGAAAUACAGGAUUAGAGAAUUAGAGGGUUGAUGGAGAAAAGUGGCAAGGAAAACAGAAGAAAACAGGGCUGGCAGAGACCAGGGGGACUGUGGGGCUUUAGGGAACUGGUGCUUAUGGCAGGGAGGAUGGGGGCUUUGUGGGGAAAAGAAACAGCGGGUUAUAGAAGAAUAUUGAGGAUACACGUCAAAUUACAUUACUAGGGACAAUAGUUUCUCCUGAAAGAUUGUAUUUAUAUUCUGGAGAAAGAGGGUAAGCCUAUAGACACAAUGAGAACUGGUAUCCCAAAAGGUAGUCCAGGUCCAAACAACCAGGCUACCAUGUUCCAUCUACAUAAAGUGGGAGGCACACCACCAGUCUCUUAAAGCCCAGCAGGUGUGGCAGGGCUGUCACAGAAAACUACUAGUUACCUCCUCAGCAGGGAAGAGUUGUAUCACAGACAGCUGAUUUGAGACAGACCUUUACAAAUAAAUCCCAGGCUAGGAAGUGGCUGAAUUUUCCUUCCACUGACGGCAUUAGAAGCAGACCUCUGCUAUUCAUCCUAACAAACUACUGCUGGUCAUUGUGGUGGGAAGCAUUUUCAAUGUAGCGAUCUGAAGAUCUACACUGUUGGGAAUCCCACCAAUGCAAGGGCAGAGACCUCCCCCCCAAUAAAAACAACAGAAAUGCUUAUUUUAAACCGUGUUGUCUGUCUUAUUUAGAUGUUACUGGGGUCCGCCGAAAUCUGUGCUAGAGUUGCUGUUGGGAGAAUGGAGUAGACACAUAGGUUCUUCACGUUCCCAAUUUCAAUAGUACAGUAUACUAAUAUUGUCACAAGUUGUUGUUUUUUGAAGUAGUGCCCAGAUUUUGUAGAGUACAGGCAGUCCUCCGACUUAGAACACAAUCGGUUCCUGAAAA